rnacentral:lncRNA from 1 species
AAAAAAGACACAGAUCCGCAGGAAGCCUCAAACAUCUUAGUGGGUCAUGGACAUUAAGCAGGAAUCAUGAUGGGAAUUGAGAUAUCUGCCUUCCACUUCUGGGUCAUGUGCUCUUACAAUCAAUGUCCUCUCUUAGAGCACUUAUGUCCCUGGAGGAACCACAUCUGUAUUCUUCAUUCACUUGAUGCUUCAAUGUUUAAUGUUGGUUCUCCUUCUCUACUUGCUGAAGAAUAAGAUCACUCGGUCAACACUGAUAAAACACCACCAAGUGAGUGGAGUGAGGUGACCCCUCAUGUGCCCAAUUGGCUAGGUCCAGCUCUGCUCCUUCAUCUUCUCAUCCAUUAUCCCCAGAGAACACCACUAUCCCAAAGUGCAUUCUCUUUCUUCACAUAUAUGGUACUUAGUUUUAACUAUUCCAAAGUUUAUAAAAGUGGAAGUGUAUAGAUGGUGAGGAUUUAGCAACUUGUACUUUCAAUGACACACAGUAUUUCUAAGCUUCAUCUGCGUUAAUGUUACAGUGAUGUUCAUCUACUUUCGUUGGUGUAUGUUCUUGUGUUGAAUAAACUUACCAUGGCUAAUUUAUUGAUUUUAUUCUUACUUCUUUUCUAG